AUGAGGUUAGAGAUGUCUGUGGAUCACGUCUGUCAAACAGGACUAGAGAAAGAUGCCCAAGCAACUGACAGGAAUAAGUGGUGUUUGAACUAAAUCUCAAGUGUAUAGCAUACAGAUUAGAUGGAUGAAGUAUUUUCUCUUGUUGAAUUUUAUUCAUUUGUAUUCUUUCAUGAAUGAAUGAUUGCAAGGCCUCGGUCACACUCCAGGAAUACUUGUGCGACUGUUUUUUUUUUUUUUUUUUUAAAGCGUGUGUCUGGUCACUUCUCUAAAAUGAUCUCCUUGUCUGGCAAUCAGCCUUCUCUGUAGACUUGUCCCGGCACAUUAUGUACGUGGGAAAUGUGGACAGGUGUGAAGGAGACCAGAAGAAUUGGUGAAUACUGAAAAGUGUGUUGUGCAUUUAGGCUUCACGUGGUUAACGUUUUUUGGGUUUUUUUUUUUUUUUAAGAAAAAAGUUGCAUGAAUGAAAACAACCUCUGUACACAUUACCUGUAAAAAUGGCCUGUUUUGAUUUCUUGCUUCUACCCCACACAAACUAGAAUUUCGUGUGGCGCGUGGCCAUGUUUAAACACCUGCAGCAGUUGGUCGUCUGGUUUGAGGCAGACGCAAUCCUGCUGCAUUCUGGGUACUGAGGACCUUGUCUAACCAUACGCUGCCGUGAGUUAGCUCUGCCGCCUUUCUUCUCAAGGAUCAAAACCAGUUUGAUUUGGGAAUCUGCCCCUUCCCGGUGGAAUGGAGGUGCGUACUUCCCGUGGCGUUUGUAGAUAUUGCCUGUGUAUUCCAUUUAAAACCAUAAUCUAGUUUGUAAAAGAGAUGAUGACGCAUGUAAAUAAAGCUUUGGUGACACUCUAUCUCAUGCCCAGGAGUCUGUCAUCAUUGUCCUGUUCCCCCCAGGAAAGAGAUGGUUGGGUUUGUGAGGCAGUCCUCCCGUGGGAUCUCUUCCCAGCCUGGGAGAGGCAGAGACCCGUAAUCUAAACUAAAUGAGCGUAGUAAACUCUGCAGCCCACUCCUGACCUCCAGAGCCACGCAGACGAUUUAAUAAGACACAUUUACAGAGUUGUCAUGCUGGGCUUGCUGUGUGUUGCCCCCAGAGCCCCAGAGGGGCAGUUAAACAUGAAAGUGAGGAUCAGACACUGCUUUCCUGGGGUGACUGGGCCUGAAGAGGGAGGUCCUCCUCGUGUGAGUCCCGUGAAUAUCCAUGGACCAUCACUGGGGCCCUCCCUCCCGCACACUUGACCACCAGACACCAUCUCCAGGCUUCUUCUCCAGUGGCAACACAACCAACACUCACUGCAUCUAUGCUAACUCCCGCCUGGCCUUGCCAGUGCUAUAGGAAGGAACAGAACAGCGUCAAACAAUCCUUAGUUGUCUGGAUAAUUUCAUCCUUUAAUGCCUAUAUUCUAAAAAUGAGCUGCAUUUAGAAAACAAAAACAACCCAGAAGCUGGUUUAAAGGGUCUAAGACGUAGGGUGGUUCAGAUUUCAGUUUAAAGAGGUGGAAGAUUUGUAAGUUGGACCUUUGGGAUGAGCUGUCUUUAGAGGCAGGAUAAACCCCACAUUCAGUCUGUGUUGAUCCCAUACAAAGGGAAAGCCCUUAACAUCUCUGGCAUCCAACUGGGAGAGGCAUUUUCAAUACCUGUGCAUCAGGAUUCUGUUCCCAAAACAUGAGACAUCUAAUGCCAGUUGCUUAAAACUGAGUUCUCAAAGCCAGGCUAAAAUUUGGCCAACAGCGAGUUAAAAUCCCAUUAGUGAUCACUGAGUCUCUGUGUGGCAGUAGCCAGACGUUGUGGCAGCCCCAAGAGAACCUUGACUUAGUCCCGGCCCUGGCUGGGAUAUGUACUAGGUGUGAUGUUCCUUCUCUGCCCCGGUGCAGCACCAGGACUGGGUGUGGCCCUGCCUCCACAUCUGAUUUAGAAGGAAAAUCUGAGUCUAUAAUAAUUGCUAGUCUGAUAGCCUGGGCAAGGCUUUCAGCUAUCAAAGGCUCCCUGGACACAUACCAUCCAGAUCAUAUCCCAGAGCUGCCGAACACACAACAGCUCCUGGGAAGUAUGGAGGGGUAGGCAGGCAGCUGGCUUUGGUGGGGAGCAGCCCAUGGUGCUCCGAGCGUCUCUCAGCUCAGCAGGAAAGAGGCAUAGGGGCAAAGAGGGAACACUCACGGGACCCUUUCCAGUGAAGAGAGCAAUGGCCCUGGGCCAAAAACCCACACACUUUCGGGUCUAGAGGAACAACUUCCUCUAGAUUUUCCUUAUCAAGAAUGUAGAGGGCUAGAGCGGAGCGAUGGCUCCGGUUAAGAGCAGUGGCUUCCAGGGGACUCAAAUUCAGUUUCCAGCACCCACAUGGCAGCUCACAACUGUCUAUAACUCCAGUCCUAGGAAAUCCGACACCCUCACAUCAAUGCACAUAAAGUAAAAUUCAAUAAAUUAUUUAAAAAGAAGAACAAGAAUGUAAAAGUUGGUUCUGGUGAGAUGGCUCAGAAGAAGAAAAGAAAAAG
rnacentral:lncRNA from 1 species